rnacentral:rRNA from 1 species
CGCGCAAAUUACCCACUCCCGGCACGGGGAGGUAGUGACGAAAAAUAACGAUACGGGACUCAUCCGAGGCCCCGUAAUCGGAAUGAGUACACUUUAAAUCCUUUAACGAGGAUCAAUUGGAGGGCAAGUCUGGUGCCAGCAGCCGCGGUAAUUCCAGCUCCAAUAGCGUAUAUUAAAGCUGUUGCGGUUAAAAAGCUCGUAGUCGAACUUGUGUCCCGUGCCGUCGGUUCACCGCUCGCGGUGUUCAACUGGCGUGCCGCGGGACGUCCUGCCGGUGAACUUAGUCCGUCUCUCGGGGCGGACGGUUCAACUUACAAUCCCAUCGCGGUGCUCUUCAGUGAGUGUCGAGGUGGGCCGGCACGUUUACUUUGAACAAAUUUGAGUGCUUAAAGCAGGCUAGAAUUUUGCCUGAAUACUGUGUGCAUGGAAUAAUGGAAUAGGACCUCGGUUCUAUUUCGUUGGUUUUUGGAACUCCCGAGGUAAUGAUUAAUAGGAACGGACGGGGGCAUUCGUAUUGCGACGUUAGAGGUGAAAUUCUUGGAUCGUCGCAAGACGGACAGAAGCGAAAGCAUUUGCCAAGAACGCUUUCAUUGAUCAAGAACGAAAGUUAGAGGUUCGAAGGCGAUCAGAUACCGCCCUAGUUCUAACCAUAAACGAUGCCAGCCAGCGAUCCGCCGAUGUUCCUCCGAUGACACGGCGGGCAGCUUCCGGGAAACCAAAGCUUUUGGGUUCCGGGGGAAGUAUGGUUGCAAAGCUGAAACUUAAAGGAAUUGACGGAAGGGCACCACCAGGAGUGGAGCCUGCGGCUUAAUUUGACUCAACACGGGAAACCUCACCAGGCCCGGACACUGGUAGGAUUGACAGAUUGAGAGCUCUUUCUUGAUUCAGUGGGUGGUGGUGCAUGGCCGUUCUUAGU